rnacentral:lncRNA from 1 species
CUGUACCUGCACUGAGCUGUCUGCUCACGGAGCCUGCUCCAUCUUCCCAACCCUGCCAGGCACUGUCCCCGCAUAAGGACACACGGGCCCAGGCUCAGUGACGGGUGAGCCCUGGAUCUCAUCAGGCUAAGGCUGUGGUCACGCGAUGAGGAUCCCUCCCUCUCUAUUGUCCAAAGCCCCAGACCUGUCUGAAGCAUUCCCAGGGGCUUGAGGUCACGGGGCUCUGGCCCUUGUCUGUGACUGACCAGUAGGCAUAAAUGGUACGGCUCCUCUGGCACCUACAACACAAAACCUUGGCUGGAAAAUCGGCAACACAUCCAUAGCUCCUCCAAAAGAGACCACACCCUGUGAUCCAGGACUGUAAAUGGCACAGCCGUCUCUAGACAGUGGCCAUGAAGUAAAACUCCUACUGUUCCUGAUGGUGGGCUGUGACAUGCCAAAACAUAACUCCAUUUUUGCCUCUGGUCACAGCUGA